rnacentral:rRNA from 1 species
UGCAAGUCGAACGGACCGAAGGGAAAGCUUGCUUUUCCUGAAGUCAGUGGCGAACGGGUGAGUAACACGUAGGUAACCUGCCCAUGUGCCCGGGACAACGCCUGGAAACGGGUGCUAAAACCGGAUAGGUAGAGAGAUCGCAUGAACUUUCUAUUAAAGGGGCUACGGCCCUGAACAUGGAUGGACCUGCGGUGCNUUANCUAGUUGGUGANGUAACGGCCCACCAAGGCNACNAUGCAUANCCGACCUGAGANGGCGANCGG